rnacentral:misc_RNA from 1 species
UUCUCUCUAUACUAUCUAACAUAUAAGCCAUUUAUAACAGUAUUACCAUUUAAGAUUUCAACUAAACUUUUAAAUUAUUUUUUAAAAAUUAUUUAUUAUAAAAUAUAUUAAAAUUUUAAUCAUAAUAAUUCAUUAUUUUUAUUAUUUUUAAAGAAUUUACUAAUUUUAUAAUACAUUUAAUAUUUAUUUAAACAUUAUACCAAUCAAAAUUUCAAUUCAACUUCAAUAUUUAAAGACACAUGGGCCUAAUGUGAGCCAUGAGGUUAGAAUUACCACGAACAAGAACUAAUAAAAAUUCACCCAAUUAAUGAAAGAUUCAAAAAUCAAGAAGUAGAAGAAUCAUUCUCUGAGGUAGGGUCUACCUCGUGCCUAUCAUCAUCGCCGAAAAUCUGGUCAAGAACAAGAACUAAUCCCAUGGCAAAAGCAGCGUCAAACCCUGGCUGAAUACAAAGCCAAAAGACAUCCUUGCCAAGCAUCACAUGAGUUGUGGGGUCCACCUUUCUUUUGAUCUCCGCCACUGCUUGCACUGCUGAAUACUCUGAGGAAGCACCAGCAACUCUGUAAAUUUUACAGCGUCGCUAGGGUAGCUGCCCUCUGUGUGGUACUGCUCACUCGGAUCACGAGAAACCUCCACCACUAAGCUGGACCGUCUGAAUGAUACUUGAUCUAAACACACUAAAUAUUGGAUCCUGAUGAUGAUCAUCGUCAUUGACCUUUCUCUCGCCUGAAAAGCCUUCCCACCGUUGAUGAAGACUUGGCUUCUGCUUAAUUUUCAUCACAAAAACCAAACACCACAACUCAAUAGCAUGCUUUGCGAUCUAAACGAAUUUCAGUUUCUAAACAAACAAACCAACCUUUCGACGGAGGGAGAGGAGGCACUUGCCAGAGGCGUCCAUGAGAACUAGCUCAUCCUUAGGUUGGGAGUCUGGACCGUAAGAAUCGAAUCGAAAGAUGACGUCUCCGUCAGGAUCAUAGACGACAAAACCGUCUCCAGGAAAGAAUACGGAGGUUUUACGAACUGUGAGGUCGAUUUCCUGUUGGAAACAGAAUUUCUCGUCUACUAUCACCCCUCUUUCAGCCAUAUUAAAUCUUCAGUAGCAGCAGCAGUCAGAAGAUAAUAUAACGAGAGAUGGGAAGUGGUUGUCAGCCAAUUAUAGUGGCUUUGCCUGUGGGCCUUCAUCGGAUAAUGUUACUGCGGUGUAUUUCCUCGAUUUAAAGGAAAAAAGGGUAGGAUUUUGGAUAUGUGCCGGUUUGGGAGUUGACAGCACGAUGUGGGCAAAUUUGUGCAUGGCUUUGGUUUAGUUAUCGACAUGCCAAGUAUUUGAUGAAAUGGACGGGGGGUGGUGAUGGUGAAGGCGUUGGGCGGCUGAUUUUUUUGGUUUUGAAAGAAUUUCAGUAUUAUUAAACUAAUCAUUGUUAGGUCUCUUAUUUUUAUCAUAUUUUUAGCUAAAAUAAUUUGAGAAAAAAAAAGUAUGUGUCAUUAUAAUUGGCAUUCCAUUACACGUAAUGCUUAAUGAGUAUUCCUGUUUGAG